rnacentral:lncRNA from 1 species
UGCUGGUAUGGUCAUGGUAAGAGAUCCUCCUCCAUGCCUCAUGGGAUGCAAUAUCAUGCUUGCUCUUGUGAAAUUAAUGAUGAUGCUCUGAAUGUUAUUUCUAUUGCCAUUGUGGAUUAGCUUCUGCCCCGCAAAUGCUAUUGGCAUGUUGCAUUCCUUGACUCCGUAGAUGAGUAGAAUUAUCAUGAGUAGUAUACAACCUGAGAUGUCUGAUUGUAUACAACCUGCACCUCGAAAUUGAUAUGUUCCAAGCUAUGUCUUUGAUUGAAAAGGAUUCUUCACUAUAAACUCUUCUAUCUGUGAUAAGUGCAACUAGAAGAAUUAGUCACAUCUAAAAUUCUGUAAUCCCUAAUAGCUGAAAAUUGAGCAUUACAAAGUUUCAUAUCUGUGUGGCACUACUUUCUAGAGCUUUGCUCCACUCUCAAUUUCUUUAGAAUUACAGAGAUCCGUGGCAAUGCUUUAGAGAACUAUCUGAUCUGUUUUAGAAUGUGAGAUCAAUUGAUAUACAGUGGCAAUGCUUUUGAGAUCUAGCUAUGUGUAACUAUUUUAUUCUAGGAACCUCCCUUCUGAAUCAUGCACAGUGCCUGUUACUAUGGCAAUGAAUUUUAUCUAUGCACAGUGCCUGUUUAUAAGAAGUAUUGAUGCAUGUGUUUGAAUGGCUGAGUAGUGAACUAUAUCAUGAAAGUAUGGAAUGGCUGAGUAGUGCAUAUUCAGGCUCUCACCGUCUAGUAUGUGAAGAGUAAUGUAACCAAUGAAAUGUGAUAAAUGCAUCUGAAUUAGAUUGGUUUAAUUUUUGUACCUGAAAUGCCCACAACCAAAUGUGCAUGAAUAUUUAGAAUGAGACACCAAUUGAAGAUGAACAUGUUCAUUGUUACAUUGUUGCUUCUUUCUCUUCAUGUAUUAUUAUGUGCUCUGUAAUGGUUUGGUUUUGCUUCCAUAUGAUCUGCUUAUACAUUCAGUUCCUAUGUAAUCUGAUCUGAAAUGAUUCAGUUUUUGGUUCCAUAUAGUUAAUCCGCCUCCAUGCUCUAUUCCUGUAUAAUUUUCCUGCUGUUCUUGCUGUUGUAUGUGUUCGCCUUCCAGGGACAACAUAUAUCGACAACAUAUAUAUGCUCAAUACACUCUACUUGUUUUCCUGUAUAGUUUUCUUACUUUUUUCCCUUUAUGCUCACACUUUUUGAGGAGCUCAAGGCCUAAGUUUUUCCUUUAUGUUCACUCUUUUACUGGAGCUAGAGUCCUAAUUUUUUUGAGUGUGAAGCCGUGAAGCCAAGUGCGAAGCACUGAAGCUGUACUUUGCAAAGAGUUCUUUUGGCUCUGUAGUAGAUUGUAAAAGGCUAAUGUAGUGUAAAAGGCUAAUGUAGUGUUAUUUGACGAACUAUAUUUGUUCUGUCUUGUUUGAAAUAGUG